rnacentral:rRNA from 1 species
UACGUAGGGGGCAAGCGUUGUCCGGAAUCAUUGGGCGUAAAGAGCGUGUAGGCGGCCCGGUAAGUCCGCUGUGAAAGUCCAGGGCUCAACCCUGGGAUGCCGGUGGAUACUGUCGGGCUCGAGUGCGGAAGAGGCGAGUGGAAUUCCUGGUGUAGCGGUGAAAUGCGCAGAUAUCAGGAGGAACACCAAUUGCGAAGGCAGCUUGCUGGGACGUAACUGACGCUGAGACGCGAAAGCGUGGGGAGCAAACAGG